AUUGAACGCUGGCGGCAUGCCUUACACAUGCAAGUCGAACGGCAGCAUGAUCUAGCUUGCUAGAUUGAUGGCGAGUGGCGAACGGGUGAGUAAUACAUCGGAACGUGCCCUGUAGUGGGGGAUAACUAGUCGAAAGAUUAGCUAAUACCGCAUACGACCUGAGGGUGAAAGUGGGGGACCGCAAGGCCUCAUGCUAUAGGAUCGGCCGAUGUCUGAUUAGCUAGUUGGUGAGGUAAAGGCUCACCAAGGCGACGAUCAGUAGCUGGUCUGAGAGGACGAUCAGCCACACUGGGACUGAGACACGGCCCAGACUCCUACGGGAGGCAGCAGUGGGGAAUUUUGGACAAAGGGCGAAAGCCUGAUCCAGCAAUGCCGCGUGUGUGAAGAAGGCCUUCGGGUUGUAAAGCACUUUUGUCCGGAAAGAAAUGGCUCUGGUUAAUACCUGGGGUCGAUGACGGUACCGGAAGAAUAAGGACCGGCUAACUACGUG
rnacentral:rRNA from 1 species